rnacentral:rRNA from 1 species
UGAGUAACCUGCCCUUAACUCUGGGAUAAGCCUGGGAAACUGGGUCUAAUACCGGAUAUGACUCCUCAUCGCAUGGGUGGGGGGUGGAAAGCUUUAUUGUGGUUUUGGAUGGACUCGCGGCCUAUCAGCUUGUUGGUGAGGUAAUGGCUCACCAAGGCGACGACAGGUAGCCGGCCUGAGAGGGUGACCGGCCACACUGGGACUGAGACACGGCCCAGACUCCACGGGAGCAG